CCUUAGAGAGGCAAACAAAAUCAGACGGUUUAAAAGGGGUGAUAGCCUAAGCAGGAUUUAAGCCGAUUAAUCAAUUUCAUUGAACCUAAGGUUUUCCUAGGCGUUGCUUAAUCAUAAGAGAAAGGCGGACAUACACGUCAGUUUAAAAAAAGGAACGGGUUAACCAGUUUUACAUUUUGUUUAGCAAGAUUAGUGAGACAUUCAACAGUUGCAAAAGAGAGACCCUAAGUACAUGAUUUCUAAUGCACAUAAAGGAC
rnacentral:lncRNA from 1 species